rnacentral:misc_RNA from 1 species
GAUGAAGAACGUAGCGAAAUGCGAUAAGUAAUGUGAAUUGCAGAAUUCGGUGAAUCAUCGAAUCUUUGAACGCACCUUGCACCCUUUGGCAUUCCGAAGGGUAUGCUCGUUUGAGUGUCAUUGUACUCUCACACUCCCAAUUGCUUUGGAUUGGGAGCGGUGGACUUGGGUGUUGCUGCUUGACUGAGGCUCACCUGAAAUAUGUUAGUGCACCUCUUGAUUGGACAUAGUACGGCGUGAUAAGUGUCUUCGCCGGCUCCUCGCAAAGAGGGUGGCCGAUCGGGAGCUCUGUUGCUUCAAACUGUCUUCGGACAAUCUUCUGGCGACUUGACCUCAAAUCGAGUAGGACUACCCGCUGAACUUAAGCAUAUCAAUAAGCGGAGGA